UUUCCGUAGGUGAACCUGCGGAAGGAUCAUUCAUAAUAAGUGAAUUAUGGAACUUUUUUAAAUCAAUAUACACCUUGUGGGCAAUGUCAGGGGUGAUUUUUCUCUCGAGAGAAUCAGCCCCAAACAGCAACUAUAGAUCAACUCUUUGUCUGAAAAAUAUUAUGAAUAAAACAAUUAAACAUACAACUAACAACAACGGAAAUCGUGGCUCUCGCAUCGAUGAAGAACGCAGACGCUCGAAAGAGCACACGUCUGAGCUCGAGUCACAUCGUCCGAGCC
rnacentral:misc_RNA from 1 species